rnacentral:rRNA from 1 species
UACGGGGGGGGCAAGCGUUGUUCGGAAUUACUGGGCGUAAAGGGCGCGUAGGCGGCUUUCUUAGUCGGACGUGAAAUCCCCAGGCUCAACUUGGGAACUGCGUCCGAUACUGGAUGGCUUGAGUGCGGGAGAGGGAUGUGGAAUUCCAGGUGUAGCGGUGAAAUGCGUAGAUAUCUGGAGGAACACCGGUGGCGAAGGCGGCAUCCUGGACCGACACUGACGCUGAGGCGCGAAAGCUAGGGGAGCAAACGGG